GACGUAGGGGGCCAGCGUUGCUCGGAAUUACUGGGCGUAAAGUGUGCGCAGGCGGCGUCGCAAGUCGAGUGUGAAAGCCCCGAGCUUAACUUGGGAAUUGCGCUCGAAACUACGAUGCUGGAGUGUGGCAGAGGAAGGUGGAAUUCCACGUGUAGCGGUGAAAUGCGUAGAGAUGUGGAGGAACACCGAUGGCGAAGGCAGCCUUCUGGGCCAACACUGACGCUCAUGCACGAAAGCGUGGGGAGCAAACAGG
rnacentral:rRNA from 1 species